rnacentral:rRNA from 1 species
CAAAGGAUUUAUCCGCUGAAAGAUGGGCUCGCGUCCGAUUAGCUAGAUGGUGAGGUAACCGCCCACCAUGGCGACGAUCGGUAGCCGGACUGAGAGGUUGAACGGCCACAUUGGGACUGAGACACGGCCCAGACUCCUACGGGAGGCAGCAGUGGGGAAUAUUGCACAAUGGGGGAAACCCUGAUGCAGCGACGCCGCGUGGAGGAAGAAGGUCUUCGGAUUGUAAACUCCUGUCCCAGGGGACGAUAAUGACGGUACCCUGGGAGGAAGCACCGGCUAACUACGUGCCAGCAGCCGCGGUAAAACGUAGGGUGCAAGCGUUGUCCGGAAUUACUGGGUGUAAAGGGAGCACAGGCGGAUUGGCAAGUUGGGAGUGAAAUCUAUGGGCUCAACCCAUAAAUUGCUUUCAAAACUGUCAGUCUUGAG